rnacentral:rRNA from 1 species
CCCCAGACUUUACCGUGAAAAAAUUAGAGUGUUCAAAGCAGGCAGAUCCAAUUUUCUGCCACCGAAUACAUUAGCAUGGGAUAAUGGAAUAGGACCCUGUCCUCCUAUUUUCAGUUGGUUUUGGCAGCGCGAGGACUAGGGUAAUGAUUAAUAGGGAUAGUUGGGGGCAUUAAUAUUUAAUUGUCAGAGGUGAAAUUCUUGGAUUUAUGAAAGAUUAACUUCUGCGAAAGCAUCUGCCAAGGAUGUUUUCAUUAAUCAAGAACGAAAGUUAGGGGAUCGAAGACGAUCAGAUACCGUCGUAGUCUUAACCAUAAACGAUGCCGACCAGCGAUUAGGAGACGUUGAAUACAAAACACCACCAUCGGUUGCGGUCGUCCUUGGCGUCUCGGUUUCGGCCGG